UCUACUCCUGAUUCUUCUUUUGUGUCCACCUUAUGAGUAAGACUUUCAUAAAGAAUCUUAUUAGGAGAUUUAAUGUGACUCAAGAUGUCUAUUGAUUCUAAAGAAUCUUAUUAGGAGAUUUAAUGUGACUCAAGAUAGCUAUUGAUUCAUCUGUUUGCACUGCAGUAGGCAUUUCUACCACAACCAUGAGAUUCCCUGCUUUGUUAUCCUCAUUAACCUUUGUUAAUACCCUUGAAUCAAUUUGACUGAAAUUACUACCCUCUGCUAAAUUUUGCUCCUUUGCUGAUUGAUGCGAAUUAAAAGUUUUUUAAUUUUGUUUUACAAGGGAAGUAGCUACAAUAUUGUCUGCCUUAUUAGCUCCUCUAUCGACGUCCUCCCGGCUUUCUUGGAUGUCAAAGGAAUUUCCAGUACUAACAUCAUUGCUAGGAAGGGUUGCCUCAAUAGCUUCAUCUUAGUUAGUCCUGGAAAAGUUGUGACAUAGGGGGUUGCUCCAACAUAUCGUGACAACCACCAUCGAGCAAUAAUACCAAUCACGGAUCAUCCGACUCACAAGAAUAA